GUCAGAAAAAAGUAAUUGCUACUAUUAUAUCAACCAGUUGGAUCCUCGUCAGCAUUGGAGUGUUGAUAGUUUUACUAUAUAAACGACGAAAUUAUAUUUGUUUUAAAUUCGAAUCACCAGUAUCAAAUGAUUAUAACAACGAAGAACGCAUUGCCAUGGCUUAAUAAUGAAGAGAAAUACAACCUGAGUCACCAACUGGCGAGUCAACAUACAUUGUACAUGGUUAGUCAGAAUGGGUUCUUGUACACGGACUUAUUACAGGUCGAGACCGCAGUCGAGGAUGGAAGGAAAUAAGUCUUUUGAUGUUGUUUUUGUAAAACUAACUUUUGUGUUUUGAUUAGUGUUUCCUAGGUAAGGAAAGUUUAGUAAACGAAGUUAUACGUGGAAAGAAGUCAUGUUUAAAGACGAUCACCAAAAAAACUUAUCAACUGAAAAUUGUUUUUGACAGAUAUAAACGUGGAUUGUUGAAGAACAAGACACUUUUUUUGUUAUUAUGAUUUAUGUUUUCUUUUUUUAUCGAAAGGUAGUUUUGACUUCAACUGUAACUGAAGUUUACUGAAUAAAUUCAUAUUAUUUGA